GCCAUGCCGCGUGCAGGAUGACGGUCCUAUGGAUUGUAAACUGCUUUUGCACAGGAAGAAACAACAUUACGUGUAAUGUCUUGACGGUACUGUGAGAAUAAGGAUCGGCUAACUCCGUGCCAGCAGCCGCGGUAAUACGGAGGAUCCAAGCGUUAUCCGGAAUCAUUGGGUUUAAAGGGUCCGUAGGCGGUCUUAUAAGUCAGUGGUGAAAUCUCCCCGCUCAACGGGGAAACGGCCAUUGAUACUGUAGGACUUGAAUUAUUAGGAAGUAACUAGAAUAUGUAGUGUAGCGGUGAAAUGCUUAGAGAUUACAUGGAAUACCAAUUGCGAAGGCAGGUUACUACUAAUGGAUUGACGCUGAUGGACGAAAGCGUGGGUAGCGAACAGGAUUAGAUACCCUGGUAGUCCACGCCGUAAACGAUGGAUACUAGCUGUUGGGUGCAAACUCAGUGGCUAAGCGAAAGUGAUAAG
rnacentral:rRNA from 1 species